UUUUUGUGCAUUUUAUUCAAAUUCACUGUAUUAUUCUGUUUAUAUCCCUAUUUUUGUUAUGCCUCUGAAACAUUUUUCUUUUUUAAACAAUUUUUUUGAAAGAUUAUGCAAAGAUACGAUGAGAUUUGGGUUGGUAAACAAGAUUUCCAUUGGAGAGAGAGAACAACGACAGAUGAGAGAGUGAGAGAGACGACCCUCGAAGCAUCAGCGUCCGAAGAACACAAUAGUACCAAUCUGGCCGCAUGGGGUGGGCCCGUAGCAGAAGACACGUUGGGGUCGUGUCACCAGACAGCGCAAAGACCCGGCCAUUUAGCUGCAGUUUCCGUUGUUUGAACCUCCCCAAGCAUGGGCAGCUCCAGGCGACAGCCCUUCUGCAACUCCAGCGACCGGAACUUUCUCAGGAAAAAGAUAUCUGUAAUAUAUAUGAUCACACCAGGGAACGGGAUUCUCCAAUAUUGUUAUGUUAUAUGAAUUUUGUGGGACAAAUGGCUAUUGAAUUUGAUAUACCGUUCUGCACUAAUAAGGCUUCCAACGAUAAGCAGUCCCUCCGCCAACGUGCUCUUUCCCUCGACUCUUCCAUCCGUCAGUGCCGUUCCCUCUUUGAUUCCUCCUUUCCCAUAAGCUCUUCGAUCCCAAGCUAGCUGAUAAGUCCUGCAGCUCGAAGAAAAUUUACAUAGAGCUAUAUGUAUUAUGGUUGAUGGAGACGUCGCUGCUUUCUUCCAACCAAAGCUCAAGAUUUCUAUAAUCCUAAUUCUUCGUUUAUAUUCUCUUUCUUUUUUAUUUUUUUUUUACUAACCCAUUCACAAAUGACUCAAUUCCUCUCUUCGAUUAUGUAUGCGCAUCUCUACAUGAAGGCGGUUUUCUAAAAAUGUUACUGGGACCAAUGAAUGUCUAAGCCUCUCGCAAAGACCUUCAAUUGAAGGUUAAGGAGGAGUACAAUUGUUACGGGGUAGUCUCAUUCCUUCCCUCCUCUCUUAUAGUUGUUUAGUAUUUGAGCGUCUUGAAUCAUAUUAUCCUUUAACUUUUCUUUGGGUAUUUUGUAAUUGUAUAAAUUACUUUAUUCUUGCCUUUUGUAAUAGUUUAGUUCAUUGAAAGUAGUGUUGAUUUGUUA